rnacentral:rRNA from 1 species
GUACCCCAAACCGACUCAGGUGGUUAGGUAGAGAAUACCAAGGCGAUCGAGUGAAUCGUGGUUAAGGAAUUCGGCAAAAUACCCCCGUAACUUCGGGAGAAGGGGGGCCCAGAGGGUGACGGGACUUGCUCCCCGAGCCUGAACGGCCGCAGAGACCAGGGAGAAGCGACUGUUUACUAAAAACACAGGUCCGUGCCAAGUCGCAAGACGAUGUAUACGGACUGACGCCUGCCCGGUGCUGGAACGUUAAGGGGACCGGUUAGCCUCACGGCGAAGCUGAGAACUUAAGCGCCAGUAAACGGCGGUGGUAACUAUAACCAUCCUAAGGUAGCGAAAUUCCUUGUCGGGUAAGUUCCGACCUGCACACUGUCGUAACGACUUCUCCACUGUCUCAACCACGAACUCGGCGAAAUUGCACUACGAGUAAAGAUGCUCGUUACGCGCAGAAGGGCGGAAAGACCCCGGGACCUUUACUACAGCUUGGUAUUGGUGUUCGGUACGGCUUGUGUAGGAUAGGUGGGAGACUGUGAAGCUGACACGCCAGUGUCGGUGGAGUCAACGUUGAAAUACCACUCUGGUCGUUCUGGAUAUCUAACCUAGGUCCGUAAUCCGGAUCAGGGACAGUGCCUGGUGGGUAGUUUAACUGGGGCGGUUGCCUCCUAAAAGGUAACGGAGGCGCCCAAAGGUUCCCUCAGCCUGGUUGGCAAUCAGGUUUCGAGUGUAAGUGCACAAGGGAGCUUGACUGUGAGACUGACAAGUCGAACAGGGACGAAAGUCGGGACUAGUGAUCCGGCGGUGGCUUGUGGAAGCGCCGUCGCUCAACGGAUAAAAGGUACCCCGGGGAUAACAGGCUGAUCUUGCCCAAGAGUCCAUAUCGACGGCAUGGUUUGGCACCUCGAUGUCGGCUCGUCGCAUCCUGGGGCUGGAGCAGGUCCCAAGGGUUGGGCUGUUCGCCCAUUAAAGCGGUACGCGAGCUGGGUUUAGAACGUCGUGAGACAGUUCGGUCCCUAUCCUCUGCGCGCGCAGGAAACUUGAGAAGGGCUGUCCCUAGUACGAGAGGACCGGGAUGGACGAACCUCUGGUGUGUCAGUUGUUCUGCCAAGAGCACCACUGAUUAGCUACGUUCGGGAGUGAUAACCGCUGAAAGCAUCUAAGCGGGAAGCAUGCUUCAAGAUGAGGUUUCCAUGGGGUUUACCCCGAGAGGCUCCCAGCUAGACUACUGGGUUGAUAGGCCGGAUGUGGAAGUGCGGUAACGCAUGGAGCUGACCGGUACUAAUAAGCC